rnacentral:rRNA from 1 species
UACGAAGGUGGCAAGCGUUGUCCGGAAUUAUUGGGCGUAAAGCGCGCGCAGGUGGUUUCUUAAGUCUGAUGUGAAAGCCCACGGCUCAACCGUGGAGGGUCAUUGGAAACUGGGGAACUUGAGUGCAGAAGAGGAAAGUGGAAUUCCAAGUGUAGCGGUGAAAUGCGUAGAGAUUUGGAGGAACACCAGUGGCGAAGGCGACUUUCUGGUCUGUAACUGACACUGAGGCGCGAAAGCGUGGGGAGCGAACAGG